GAGACAGUAGCUCAGUGGUAGAGCUUCCGCUUGGUAUGCAGAAAGACCUGGGUUCAAUUACCGGCUGCUUA
rnacentral:tRNA from 1 species